AUGGCUGUCGUCAGCUCGUGUCGUGAGAUGUUGGGUUAAGUCCCGCAACGAGCGCAACCCUCGUUCUAUGUUGCCAGCGGGUUAUGCCGGGGACUCAUAGGAGACUGCCGGGGUCAACUCGGAGGAAGGUGGGGAUGACGUCAAAUCAUCAUGCCCCUUAUGUCUUGGGCUUCACGCAUGCUACAAUGGCCAGUACAAAGGGCUGCGAUACCGCAAGGUGGAGCGAAUCCCAAAAAACUGGUCUCAGUUCGGAUUGGGGUCUGCAACUCGACCCCAUGAAGUCGGAGUCGCUAGUAAUCGCAGAUCAGCAACGCUGCGGUGAAUACGUUCCCGGGCCUUGUACACACCGCCCGUCAAGUCACGGAAGUCGGUAACACCCGAAGCCGGUGGCCCAACUCGCAAGAGGGGGAGCCGUCGAAGGUGGGACUGGCGAUUGGGACUAAGUCGUAACAAGGUAGCCGUACCGGAAGGUGCGGCUGGAUCACCUCCUUUCUAAGGAGCACUGGCACCCCUUGGGGUGUCCAGGUGGCCCUGCCGGCCCGUUCGUGGUCGGGGGUUGCUCAUGGGUGGAUCAUCGGUUAUUUGGCGCCGCGUACGUGGUGGUUCUGCUAGUACAGCUGCUCUCCUUUGGGAGGGUUGUUUGGAAGGUGGGUUCGCCGGGUGGGUGGUGUCUGGCAUGUUGUUGGGUCCUGAGGACUCGGACGUUUUUGCUCCGUUCUUCAGUUCGGGCCUCACCUGUUGCCUGUACCGCGUGUCUCCUGGUUUGUGGGGGCUGGCGGCGGGUGCGUGUGGUGGGGUUCCGCCCGUAUGUUGAGAACUACACAGUGGACGCGAGCAUCUUUGUGAGUCAAGUUUUUAAGGGCGCACGGUGGAUGCCUUGGUACCAGGAACCGAAGAAGGACGUAGGGAUCUGCGAUAAGCCACGGGGAGUCGAUAACCAGACUGUGAUCCGUGGAUUUCCGAAUGGGGAAACCCGG
rnacentral:sRNA from 1 species